rnacentral:lncRNA from 1 species
UGGAUAUGUGAGCUCUGAGAAACGGAGAGGCAGAGGUUGCUAUGCCCAGCGGUACUGCCUGACAGGGAAGUGCCCUGCCUCUUUAGAUUUGCAUUGCCAUCGUGACCGGAUAUAAGGGAGGGGCAGCAUUUCAGUCUCUGAUUUUUAUGAGAAAGAGGAGGAAGCAUGACAAGGAAAAAGGGCACCCUCUCCCCUUUUUUUCAACCCCACAGGCAGACCUCCCACAUCCUAGCUCUGCUUCCAAGAACCACCCCCUUGGGUGUGGAAGAAAGUAUAAGCCAGGCGCGGUGGCUCACGCCUAUAAUC